GACGAACGCUGGCGGCGUGCUUAACACAUGCAAGUCGAACGGAAAGGCCCUGCUUUUGUUGGUUUCUCGAUUGGCGAACGGGUGAGUAACACGUGAGUAACCUGCCCUUGACUUUCGGAUAACUUCAGGAAACUGGGGCUAAUACCGGAUAGGAUCUCCUGCUGCAUGGUGUGGGUUGGAAAGAUUCGGCGGUUGGGGAUGGACUCGCGGCUUAUCAGCUUGUUGGUGGGGUAGUGGCUUACCAAGGCUUUGACGGGUAGCCGGCAUGAGAGGGUUACCGGCCACAUUGGGACUGAGAUACGGCGCAGAAUCGUACGGGAGGCAGCAGUGGGGAAUAUUGCACAAUGGGCGGAAGCCUGAUGCAGCAACGCCGCGUGCGGGAUGACGGCCUUCGGGUUGUAAACCGCUUUCGCAUGUGCCGAAGCGUGAGUGACGGUAAUGGGUAAAGAAGCACCGGCUAACUACGUG
rnacentral:rRNA from 1 species